UGGGGAAUAUUGGACAAUGGGGGGAACCCUGAUCCAGCCAUGCCGCGUGUGUGAAGAAGGCCUUAUGGUUGUAAAGCACUUUAAGCGAGGAGGAGGGUACUGGUAUUAAUACUACCAGCUACUGGACGUUACUCGCAGAAUAAGCACCGGCUAACUCUGUGCCAGCAGCCGCGGUAAUACAGAGGGUGCGAGCGUUAAUCGGAUUUACUGGGCGUAAAGCGUGCGUAGGCGGCUAAUUGAGUCGGAUGUGAAAUCCCCGAGCUUAACUUGGGAAUUGCAUUCGAUACUGGUUAGCUAGAGUGUGGGAGAGGAUGGUAGAAUUCCAGGUGUAGCGGUGAAAUGCGUAGAGAUCUGGAGGAAUACCGAUGGCGAAGGCAGCCAUCUGGCCUAACACUGACGCUGAGGCACGAAAGCAUGGGGAGCAAACAGG
rnacentral:rRNA from 1 species